rnacentral:rRNA from 1 species
AUACGUAGGGAGCAAGCGUUGUCCGGAUUUACUGGGUGUAAAGGGCGCGCAGGCGGGUUGGUAAGUCAGAGGUGAAAUCCUACAGCUUAACUGUAGAACUGCCUUUGAUACUACUAAUCUUGAGUAUGGAAGAGAGAGACGGAAUUCCAGGUGUAGUGGUGAAAUACGUAGAUAUCUGGAAGAACACCAGUUGCGAAGGCGGUCUCUUGGUCCAAUACUGACGCUGAGGCGCGAAAGCGUGGGUAGCAAACAGGAUUAGAAACCCCAGUAGUCC